GACGAACGCUGGCGGCGUGCUUAACACAUGCAAGUCGAACGAAGCGGCGGACGGGUGAGUAAUGCCUAGGAAUCUGCCUGAUAGUGGGGGAUAACGUCCGGAAACGGGCGCUAAUACCGCAUACUAUCAGAUGAGCCUAGGUCGGAUUAGCUAGUUGGUGGGGUAAAGGCCUACCAAGGCGACGAUCCGUAACUGGUCUGAGAGGAUGAUCAGUCACACUGGAACUGAGACACGGUCCAGACUCCUACGGGAGGCAGCAGUGGGGAAUAUUGGACAAUGGGCGAAAGCCUGAUCCAGCCAUGCCGCGUGUAUGAAGAAGGCCUUCGGGUUGUAAAGUACUUUCAGCGGGGAGGCGUUACCCGCAGAAGAAGCACCGGCUAACUCCGUGCCAGCAGCCGCGGUAAUAC
rnacentral:rRNA from 1 species